CAUUCUUUGUUGAUUUAUACCAUAAGGUGCUGGCUAUCAUGUGUUUGAAAAUACCCUAAACUUAACCUAACAAAACCCCAAACAGUUACUAUAGGUCUUGGCUUGGAAAAUUCAUAUAUGCUUCCUUACUAAUGAGACUUUCUAUACAACAAAGUGAGGUCAUUCUUUGUUGAUUUAUACCAUAAGGUGCUGGCUAUCAUGUGUUUGAAGAUACCCUAAACUUAACCUAACCUAACAAAACCCCAAACAGUCACUAUAGGUCUUGACUCAGAAAAUUCAUAUAUGCUUCCUUACUAAUGAGACUUUCUAUACAACAAAGUGAGGUCAUUCUUUGUUGAUUUAUACCAUAAGGUGCUGGCUGUCAUGUGUUUGAAGAUACCCUAAACUUAACCUAACCUAACAAAACCCCAAACAGUCACUAUAGGUCUUGACUCAGAAAAUUCAUAUAUACUUCCUUACUAAUGAGACUUUCUAUACAACAAAGUGAGGUCAUUCUUUGUUGAUUUAUGCCAUAAGGUGCUGGUUAUCAUGUGUUUGAAAAUACCCUAAACUUAACCUAACAAAACCCCAGUCACUAUAGGUCUUGACUCAGAAAAUUCAUAUAUGCUUCCUUACUAAUGAGACUUUCUAUACAACAAAGUGAGGUCAUUCUUUGUUGAUUUAUGCCAUAAGGUGCUGGCUACCAUGUGUUUGAAGAUACCCUAAACUUAACCUAACAAAACCCCAGUCACUAUAGGUCUUGACUCAGAAAAUUCAUAUAUGCUUCCUUACUAAUGAGACUUUCUAUACAACAAAGUGAGGUCAUUCUUUGUUGAUUUAUGCCAUAAGGUGCUGGCUAUCAUGUGUUUGAAAAUACCCUAAACUUAACCUAACAAAACACCAAACAGUUACUAUAGGUCUUGGCUUGGAAAAUUCAUAUAUGCUUCCUUACUAAUGAGACUUUCUAUACAACAAAGUGAGGUCAUUCUGUGUUGAUUUAUGCCAUGAGUUGUUGGCUGUCAUGUGUUUGAAGAUACCCUAAACUUAACCUAACCUAACCUAACAAAACCCCAAACAGUUACUACAGGUCUUGACUCAGAAAAUUCAUAUAUGCUUCCUUACUAAUGAGACUUUCUAUACAACAAAGUGAGGUCAUUCUUUGUUGAUUUAUACCAUAAGGUGCUGGGUAUCAUGUGUUUGAAGAUACCCUAAACUUAACCUAACAAAACCCCAAACAGUCACUAUAAGUCUUGACUCAGAAAAUUCAUAUAUGCUUCCUUACUAAUGAGACUUUCUAUACAACAAAGUGAGGUCAUUCCUUGUUUAUUUAUACCAUAAGGUGCUGGCUGUCAUGUGUUUGAAGAUACCCUAAACUUAACCUAACAAAACCCCAAACAGUCACUAUAGGUCUUGACUCAGAAAAUUCAUAUAUUUUUCCUUACUAAUGAGACUUUCUAUACAACAAAGUGAGGUCAUUCCUUGUUUAUUUAUACCAUAAGGUGCUGGCUAUCAUGUGUUUGAAGAUACCCUAAACUUAACCUAACAAAACCCCAAACAGUUACUAUAGGUCUUGGCUUGGAAAAUUCAUAUAUGCUUCCUUACUAAUGAGACUUUCUAUACAAGAAAGUGAGGU